AAAAAAAAAAACUUUCUAGGAAAUUUACUUGCACGUUUCUAUUUGUGUUUUUUUUUUAAUCCUUAAUGGAUUAGGUAGUCUGUGGUGGUUGUUUCCUUUGUUAAUUUUCCUGGGAAAUGUAUGAUCUGAGCAUUUGAACCCAUUUGAUGAAUUGGGUAUUAUGAGUUUUUUUUUUCUCUCUCCUUUUUAUGUUCGAGUUGUCUUAUUUUGAAGCAGUGUCACUUGCUUGCAUAAAGGAUUGCGAGUGGACCUUUCUCUUUUUAGUUUUUCGCCCUUCAAAAUGAAUGGUAUGAUCAUAUAUAUUUCGUAGGGGUGAAACUUUGCUCUGAAUAGUUGCAAUGUACAAAUUGUUCGUGCGACAUGUAGGAGAUGUCAUAGUUUAUGGUGAUGGAUUGGAGGGUUGUAAUCAAUUGUUACAAUUCCUUUGUAUUAAGGGUUACUACUUACUAGUGAAAUGGCAAAUUCACGAUUUGAAUGUGAGCGUGGGGGGCAUAAUCCAGGCUAACGGAUUCAAGAAUCGUACAAUCUGUAGUAAGUAUGCCAGACACAGUAAUGGCUCAUGCAAUUUUUCGUAGCACCUCCCCGUUAUCUUCUAGUACUUACCCUUUUGCAUAAAAUGUUUGGCCUCUGUAAUAAAAUGCUUACUUGGUCCUUACUUGCCAUUUGGUGUUGUGUUUAGAAUUUUAGUCUCUGCUUCUUCCAUCAUAGCCUAAUUUCAUUUUCCAUCACCUUUAUUUUAGUAGAGAUGCUUCUAGACAUUGCAAAGAAAUUGUUUAGGACCUUACUUUUGCUUCUUGUACUUUAGGUGAGGAGUGGGCUUUGUGUAUGGCCAGGUGCAAGACAGCUUUGCCUUAGAAAAGGCCUCUUGUAUGGAUUCAUGCACUUACUGUAUUUGCCAUUUAAGACCUUGCGUGGAGCUAGUAGAACACUUAGAGUUGCUCAAUUUUGCAGUGUUUCCAAUAUGUCUUCCUCAUUACAAAUUGAAUUGGUGCCAUGUCUUGGGGAUAACUAUGCAUAUCUUUUACAUGAUGUGGAUACUGGCACAGUUGGAGUUGUUGAUCCCACUGAAGCUGUACCAAUUAUAGAUGCUCUAAGUAGGAAAAACCGAAAUUUGACCUAUAUACUGAAUACUCAUCAUCAUCAUGAUCACACUGGUGGGAAUGAAGAGUUGAAAGCAAGGUACGGUGCAAAGGUAUGACAUAGUAUUUACUGGUGAAGAUUCUUUUUCCAUCAAGUCAUAUCCAAGUAGUUGGAUUCCUAUAAGUGAACAUUGACACAUAAAGUUAUAAGCUUUAAAAAUAAAAGCUUGUUUUAGCAAUUUCAAUUUUGCAGAUUGUAUCUAACCAUGAGGAACAUUUUCUUCCUUCUUUUUGUAUCUAACAAUGAGGAACAUUUUCUUCCUUCUGUUUCUACUUAAGAAAGCAACUAUUCCUUAUAAUUAUAAUUUUAAUAAGGAGAUUUAGUCUUUGGUAAAACCGAGAUAGUCGGAGUUAAAAAUGAUAAAAGAGUUAAGUUUUUUGAUUCAUGCAAGAUUUACUCACAAAUUUUUAGUCAUGCGAUCGAAUAUGAUCAUUGGCAAGCAAAUCUUGGCACAUAUUCUCAGUUUGAUUGUAAGUUAGGUUCAUAUGGAAUCUGAGUGUACAACUGUUGCUUGCCCUUCUUUUGGCAUUCCUGUGAAACUCUUUCUUGACAUGAAACUUAGUUUAGUUAAAGAAAUUUGCUAUCUUGAAAUGUUACUAGUUUAUCUGUAGUAGAUAUGCCAGACAUGAACUGCAAGCAAUUGAAUAAAUAAAAUUCCUAUUGGUUAUGCUUCCCGUUGCCAUUUGUAAUAAUGUUUAAAGACACUCCUUUUUAAAGCCCUUGAAGCACGAGUCCACAAAGAAGCCAAGAAGCCACCUUAUCCCAGAGCAGAUUAAAGUAUGAAGAGUGAACCUUGAAACUGCGUGCAUUCCUCUCCAGCCAAAAUUCCAAGUUCUCCAUAAAACAGAGGGAAAAAAAAAUGCAACUCCAAAGAACUCUGCCAUCUUGUUUAAUAUCAAAUCCUUUUCAUUCUCAAAACCAAUUGCUGAACCUCAUAAAAAAUACCAAAUAGGUGUUUCAGAUUGCCCAAAUGGUUAUGGACUUAUGGUUACUUUGUUAACAAAUAUUUUUAAUUAUUUUAAUCAUUUUGUUAGUAACAUUUUGGGAAAUGGAAGAUGUCUUAUAUCGGUAAUGUUGGUCUUGUCAAGUUGUCUAUCACUUUCAUGGCCAUUCUGCAAUGUUUUACCUACUUUCAUACUUUUAUUUUUUUGUUAUGUGUGAAUGAUGAACAUAGAGGCUUAUUUUGUGUUCCUCUUUUUGUUUUUAAUUGCAUAUAUUGAGUGUUAGGUUUUGACUUAAAGGCAAAAGAGUUAUAAAGCUGUCAAUAAAGUUCUUGGUUUCUGUGAAGUGUUUCAAUUUUGAAAGCUCAUUCAAUUUUAUGGAGUUAUUAUAUUUCCAUUUCUUGCUUAUAGGUGAUUGGUCCAGGAAUAGACAGAGACAGAAUUCCUGGCAUUGAUAUAGUUCUGAAUGAUGGUGAUAAAUGGAUGUUUGCAGGACACAAGGUGGUUGUAAUGGAAACUCCUGGUCAUACCCGAGGUUGUGUUUUGUUGUUUGUAUAACUUAUAAAAACCAUAUAGGUGUUAAAAAAUUAAUGAAAUUGGAUACCAUGUUUGUGAAGCUGGCUUCUAUAUUGUUACAUCAUUAAGUUUCUUUUAUGUUGUCAUUGGUACCAUGUGAUUAGUUUUUGUAAGGAGUGGCAAAUAGUUUAGUUUUAAGUUUUAACUACCAUUUCAUAGAGUUAUACUAUAUUUGUUAGUGUAGCUUGGAAUAAUUUGAGUUACUUGAAAUGUAAUGAUAUUGUUUUGGCUAAAGAAUACAGGAUUGAUUUUCCCUAACACAUCUGUACUCAGUAGAUCAAAAUUAUUUCUAUGUAGAUUGUAUGUGUGGUCUAUGUUUAUACCGUUUUUAGUCUAUAUAAGCAAGUAUGCACAGACACAUUUUUCUUUUUCAUUUUAUAUUCUAAUGUUCUGCUUUGACCUUAUUGUAGGCCACAUUAGUUUCUACUUUCCUGGAUCAGGGGCAAUUUUUACAGGAGACACUUUGUUUAGCUUAUCAUGUGGCAAGCUUUUGGAAGGAACACCUGAGCAGGUAGUUGGUGCUGCCAAUCCAGGAAUUCAUCUUUCC
rnacentral:misc_RNA from 1 species